rnacentral:rRNA from 1 species
GGCAGCAGCUAAGAAUAUUCCGCAAUGGGGGGAACCCUGACGGAGCGACGCCGCGUGGACGAUGAAGGCCGGAAGGUUGUAAAGUCCUUUUCUGACGGAGGAAGAAGUGCCGGAGGGAAUGCCGGCAUGGUGACUGUAGGUCAGGAAUAAGCACCGGCUAAUUACGUGCCAGCAGCCGCGGUAACACGUAAGGUGCGAGCGUUGUUCGGAAUCAUUGGGCGUAAAGGGCAUGUAGGCGGUCCUGCAAGUCUGGAGUGAAAUGCCGGGGCUCAACCCCGGAACUGCUUUGGAAACUGUGGGACUGGAGUCACCGAGGCGGAGCCGGAAUUCCAGGUGUAGGGGUGAAAUCUGUAGAUAUCUGGAAGAACACCAAUGGCGAAGGCAGGCUUCGAGCGGAUGACUGACGCUGAGGUGCGAAGGUGCGGGGAGCAAACAGGAUUAGAUACCCUGGUAGUCCGCACAGUAAACGAUGCACACUGGGCGUCUGGGCAAGAGCCUGGGUGCCGAAGCAAACACGGUAAGUGUGCCGCCUGGGGAGUAUGCCCGCAAGGGUGAAACUCACAGGAAUUGACGG